rnacentral:rRNA from 1 species
GAUGAACGCUGGCGGCGUGCCUCAAACAUGCAAGUCGAGCGGGGCUAUGUAAUAUCGCAAGGUAGAACAUAGCCUAGCGGCGAACGGGUGAGUAACACGUGGGUAACCUGCCUGGAAGACAGGGAUAACGAUUCGAAAGGGUCGCUAAUACCUGAUAAUAUCCUUUCAUCGCAUGGUGAUAGGAAGAAAGGGGAAACCCGCUUUCAGAUGGGCCCGCGUCCCAUCAGCUAGUUGGUAAGGUAAAGGCUUACCAAGGCGACGACGGGUAGCCGGUCUGAGAGGAUGUACGGCCACACUGGGACUGAGAUACGGCCCAGACUCCUACGGGAGGCAGCAGUUGGGAAUCUUAGGCAAUGGACGAAAGUCUGACCUAGCGACGCCGCGUGAGGGAAGAAGGCCUUCGGGUUGUAAACCUCUGUCAUGGGGGAAGAAGUAAGUGACGGUACCCAAGAGGAAGCCCCUGCUAACUACGUGCCAGCAGCCGCGGUAAGGAGUAGUACA